UACGUAGGUGGCAAGCGUUUGUCCGGAUUUAUUGGGUUUAAAGGGUGCGUAGGCGGCCUUUUAAGUCAGUGCUGAAAUACUCUAGCUUAACUAGAGGGGUGGCAUUGAUACUGAAAGGCUUGAGUGAAGUCGAAGUAGGCGGAAUUGACGGUGUAGCGGUGAAAUGCUUAGAUAUCGUCAAGAACACCGAUAGUGAAGACAGCUUACUAGACUUCAACUGACGCUGAGGCACGAAAGUGUGGGGAUCAAACAGG
rnacentral:rRNA from 1 species